GCCUACAGCCGUACCACUAAACACACCCAAGCUCGUCUGAUCUUGGAAGCUAAGCAGGGCUAGGCCUGGUUAGAACUUGGAUGGGAGACCAACUAGGAAAACCUGGUGUGUAGGGA
rnacentral:rRNA from 1 species